rnacentral:rRNA from 1 species
CCUACGGGUGGCAGCAGUGGGGGAUAUUGCACAAUGGGGGAAACCCUGAUGCAGCGACGCCGCGUGGGUGAAGAAGCAUCUCGGCGCGUAAAGCCCUAUCAGCAGGGAAGAAAAUGACGGUACCUGAACAAGAAGCCCCGGCUAACUACGUGCCAGCAGCCGCGGUAAUACGUAGGGGGCAAGCGUUAUCCGGAUUUACUGGGUGUAAAGGGGGCGCAGACGGGGAUGCAAGCCAGGAGUGAAAGCCCGGGGCCCAACCCCGGGACUGCUUUUGAAACUGCGUGGCUGGAGUGCAGGAGGGGCAGGCGGAAUUCCUGGUGUAGCGGUGAAAUGCGUAGAGAUCAGGAGGAACACCGGCGGCGAAGGCGGCCUGCUGGACUGCAACUGACGUUGAGGCUCGAAAGCGUGGGGAGCAAACAGGAUUAGAUACCCGGGUAGUC